AUAUCACUCAUCCUUGCGUAAGCUUUUUAAUUGUCAUAGAUAAUGAGAGAACCUUGGUGAAAAGAUGGAAAAAUUGAAUGUAAUAUGCCUGCUUAUAAAUAUCUAUAUUUGGAUAUUGGUUUCCUUUUCCUCUGUCUCAUUUUCAGACUGUUUUCCCCAAUUUGAACUGAAGUGCAGGAGCUCAAAUGAAGAAUUUGGCCUGAUUCUCAUCUCAGGCUAUUUUUACAGGGUUGUUUCCAGUGAAGUGGCUCUUCCCAAAAAGAAAGGGAAGAACCAAGCCUUUGGCUAAUAAUUGCAACAUGGAGAUGGCACAUGGGCACUGCGCCACUCUUCCAGUUUUAAUAUUUAUAACUGAGGUUUUUUUCAGGAGGUUCUUAAUUUCCCAGGACUAUGGCUGCUUUCAGACCAACUCUUGGUGGUUUGGCUCCUUCCCUGAUGUGAACUCAGCUCCCAGCCUUCCUCCAUCCCUGACAAGAGCCCUGUGCUCAGAACCUCUGCUGAUCCCAUCCCACCUUUCAUUUUGUCGGAGCUAAUUGCUAAAAUAUUUCUUUUAGAGGGGCUAGAUCAACGCCAAGUGCAUCUCUUGAUUGAUUUCGGGGUGUUUUGGAUUUGGCCCUUGAUGAUUUUCUAAGGUUAGUUUCACUUGUUACACGGAGUUGUGUCAGAUUUGCCCCUCUGUGAUUUGGCAGAGGUGUGGGGUGGAAAUGGAGAAGCUUCUGCUGGUUUGGGUUGGGUUCUGAGCACAUUCAGCCAAAUGCCCCUCUUUGAAUAAACAUUUAUCAGUCAGUCUCCACCCUUGAAGAUUUUCAAUAUCUGACUUGGAUAAAGCCCUGAACAGCCUGGGCUGACCUCUGAGCAAAUCCUCCUUGAGCAAGAGGGUCAUCCAGAGACCUCCUGAGAUCUCUUGAAUCCUAAAUUAUCCUGUGGUCCUAUUCUGCAAACAGUAGAUUUUUUUUAAACCAACUUUGACUCGGAAUGCAGAGUGCAGUGUCCCCCAGGAAAGGGCUCAUUUUGAAAGAAAUAAAAAAGAAUUUGAAAAUCAGAAGUGUUUCAGAAGCAAGGGUCAAUUUUCAAGAUGUUAAAUUAAGCGAAAUGGCUCCUUUUAUUAAUAUUUUUCCCUUUUUUUGAUAACAAAUAUUUUGCUAAAUUCAUGUUGCACUUCUGUUGCUGUCACUGUAUACAGCAUAAUGCGUAUCCAGAUUAGAACAGAAUGUCAUCUACAUGUUAAAAUAUAGAUAAAUAGAUCUAUUAAGGUUUUCCAUGGUACAUUGAGACUGAACCUUUGUAAUCUGAAAGCCUAGCAGAGUGCACAAGCCAAUUUUUUGGCUUGACAUUAUAAAUUUAAAUGCCCUUAACAAGUCAAGAAGUAACCAGGCUCUCGGAGGAUGGGGCAAAAGUUUGCUUUGCAAAGGGAACCUGUGGAUACAAAGUUAUCUGUGCACAGAUAUAAAAGAAAUGGGUAAUUUUGUGAGAAAUAUAUACAACUGCAUUAAAAAAAAGUCCCCUUUUCUUGCAUAACUGUCGUUUAUUUUGUAGAUGUGCACGAUUCUGCACCCUUUUUGUCAUGGGCUGCCUUAAACUCUUGCUGUGGAGAAUGGGAUCCUCCAAUACACUACUUCUAUGUGUGCAAGGAAAGCUGGGUGUGUUUUUCACUCCCUUGUGAAAUGAACCGUGGGCACCUGAAAAGGAGCCAGUUCCUUUUUCCUCCAGUGUUAUAUGAGCGUUGCUCCAGGUCCCAGCCUGCUAUUGUCUCAAUUUGAGUAUAAACCCAUCAGCAAACCUGUCUCUGGUGGAGACCACACUGUUGGCCAACUUCUUGCUAGACCGUGGAAGUGUGUGUAUGUAUAAACAGGCACAUAAACCACUCUAUAUAUAUUUUUAAACCCAUUAUUUUUUUAAAUAUAUAUAUAAUACACCUAUUAAAAAAGCCAUAUGCAUGUCAGUAUAAGACAGCGAUAAUGCCUGUGAUGAUGAACACAAAAUGUUUGUGCAUUAAAAGGAAGCCAAAUAAUACCUUUUCAAAUAACAAAUGUUUUUCUUUCCUUGCCCUUUUCUCUUUGUGUUUGUUGGGUUGUUUUUUUCCUGUUGCUGCUGUGGGAAACUAGGAUGGAGGAGGUUUGGUUCGUUACCAGGCAAAAUGUGAAUACAGCUGUGAAAUUAAUUCUUUUUUUUGGGGGGGGAGGGAGGGGAAUGUGCAAUAGUGGUGAAAGCAGUUGUAGGAAAAGGACUGUUUCAUGAUGCAAAUGACAGUGACAUUAAAUCAUAGCUUAAAGAGAUGUUGAGGCAAACUUAGCUGAAUUCUGCCUUGCCAGCAGCUGGUGGUUGGGACUAAAGGACACAGUGGGCUCUUUGCACGCUCAGAAGCACCGCAGGCUGAAGGGGACAGAGAGACAUUGCCUUCACUGCUCCCUUCUCCUGUGUGUGGCCAUUUUUUUGGCAUGUUGCAUUUCUGGGUGCCCUGAGACUCAUUCUUCCACGGCAGACAUGACUGAGGCCAAACCUGCUCUCCUUAGUCUUUGGCUCUGAGGCCAGAAUGGCCUCCCUUUGAGCCUCCUUCUCCUUUUGGGGCAACCACACCUUCCAGUCUAGUUGUCACACAGCAGACACGGCCAUCCCACAACAGUGGCACUGUCCCAGGAGCUCACCUUUCCUCGUGAAAAAUGAUGGAUUUCUUUUAGAGAGUUCGGUUUAAUUGAAAUGUGUGGAUUUUUAUCAACUCCUCAUUGGGUGUUCAGUGCCUUCCUAAGCCAUCUGUCCAAGAAAAUGUGUGUCAUCAGCAUGUUCUAUUGAUGCAACUUUAUUUGGAAAUAAGUAAUUAUUUAUUAAUUAAUAAACAAAAUAAAUGGGACUUGUUUUACAAUACUGGAAUGACUUCUAGCCAGCUUUUUCAUUGUGAUUAUGUCUCACUGUAAUUUUAUUUCCAGUUGUGCCAGCAGAAAAAGUUGACAACAUGGAAGUGUGUGUUUGUGUGUGCGUGUAGGUGAUACACAAUUAAAAGACGUAGGAGAUAACUGGAUGCAGGGCUUCAUCCCUGUUCCUCCUCCUCCUAAAGAGAGGGAGCAGAAGGUUGGGCAGAAACACCUUUGGCCCAGGACUCCUGUGACCGUUCCCACCCCUCCAUGCAGUGUGAGGGCAGCGAUUUGGCCAGAGGACCCUGGAGAUGUGGUGCCAGCACCCAGUCCAGCAGCACUGGAAGAGGAUCACCUUCUUGCAACCACCCAGAGGACAUCAGGGCUUUCACAUUCCCUGUGCUCCAUCCACCUGAGGGACGUCACCAGUGGAUGCUAGAGCAGAAUGGUAAAAGCAUUGACUGCAGAAGAAGCCAUCAAAGUUAAAUACCGAAAAACCUACGCAGGCCAACACUUUAAAUCCUGGGAAGGAGAAAGCUGAAGAGUGCAGCAGAAGUGCAAACUUCUCAGAGCCACAGCCCUACCAGCAGGGUUUUCUCCCUGACCCUGACACAAGGUGGAGGGGAGUCCUCUGGGAGGUGCAGAGAAGAUCAACCCAAACUUACCAAGGGCAGCAACCUGUGGGGAACACAGCAGGGAGGACACCGACUGCAAGAGGGAAGAGGCAUAAGGAGGCCCACAUAGACGUGGAAGAGAGAAAAAAGCAUGGAGAGCUGAGAGGACCUCAUGAAGAAGAUCCCAUGGCUUGGUGUCUUUCAUCAACCCUCCAUUAACAAAGCCCAGACCAAG